GCAACAAUCAAUUGCAUGUUUCUGUGUACCUGGAUGAGAGGAUUUUGAGUGUUCCCAACACAAAGAAGUGAUAAGUGUGUUAAUACGGAGGGAGGAGAUAGAAGGGCCAAGCCUCACCCCAGGCAGGACUGACUGGCAGAGCUAAGACUUGUGUUCAACUGUACUCUGGGUGGGGUCAGUGAGAAACUUUUUUUCCUCCUGCUUGCCUUGUCCUUGCUCUGUUUCUUCAGAGAAUGUUCCUAGGUAUGGCCUUGGACAUACAACCUGCUCUCCCUCAGACCCUACCUUCUCAUCUAUGGACAGGUCAGUGCUUUGUCCCAGCUGGGUCCACAGUGAGGACUACGUGAGUGGAUGUCUGCAGUGCAGCAAGAAAAGACAGGUGUUUUAGAACGGUUGUCAGUGUCAUUGUCCUCACAUUGGUUGUCACACUUUUUCAAUUCCCUAUAAUUAGGUACUGUGCUAUGUUGUGAGUCUAAGGAAGAGAAAUUCAGAAAAAAUGAAAUAAUAAAAAAGAAGCCAACAAUAUCCUAUCCCCAAACAGUAAAGGACACCAAAGGAAGAGACACACUUAAGUUAAAACACUACAAAAAUCCCAGUGCUGGGAGGGAGAGUGCAGAAGGGCAGGGAGCCUGGGGGAAGAGCUCCCCACUGCAGGCUGAAAGCCCACUGCUGCCUGAUGCCCCCAGCCUCCCUCACGCCUGGGAAACCCAGCAGCCCUGGGCUCAGAGCAUCAGUGGUGCUGCUGCACAGCGGCUCCCUCCAGGGCCAGACAAGCAGACACUGCUGGGUGCAUUGGGAAGGGAUCCCCAUCCUCUCCCUGGGUCCUCACACCUUCCUCUUCCACAGGCACAGGGGAGCUGAGACCCUCCCUCUCCCCACCUGCCCCUGACCAGCCCUGCCUGGGGCAGCCCCCCUGGCACUCAGCAUCACUCACCUGAGCAGUGUGCAGGGGCUCUGGCAGGAACUGUGGAGAGCAGCACAGCCAGGCCUCUUUAUCCUUCCCUGAGUCCCAGUGCUCAGGGACACUCUCACUGCUGUCAACAUGUCAGUGUCAGGAGUUUGGCUCUGCCAGGGGAAAAGGCUCCUUGUGCACGCUGUGGAGCCCUGGGGCCAGCUCUGCCCUCUCCCUGCUGGGCCCUCAUUUGCUGAGCCCAGAAUCCUCCUGGUCCUAAUUGUGGUGAACCUGCCCUGAUGAGCAGGAGGCAGCUGGGUGAGGAGCAGGUGGCAGAGGGCUCUGGGUUCCUGGGACCUGAUUAUGUUCUCAUCCCCCUCCUUCCUCUCACCUCCAAUACUCAGGACCAACUGGGAAGGAGUAUUGUAGAGUCAGCAGUGGACACUUUCUCAACUUUUGUGCUUCAAAUUUUUAAAAAAUAUUUAUAUAUUUAUUUAUUUAUUUGAAAGUCAGAAUGACAGACAGAUUGGGAGAGUCAGAGACAGAGACAGAGAGAACUUUCAUCCUCUGGUUCACUUCCCAAAUGGCCACAAUGACAGGGCUAGGCCAGAUAGAAGCCAGGAGCCAGGAACUCCAUCCAGAUCUCAAUGUGUGUGGCAGGGGUCCAAGUACUUGAGCUGUCCUUUGCUGCUUUCCCAAGCAAAUUUGCAGAAGGCUAGGUCAGAAGUGAGCAGCUAGGACUCAAACCAGCUAUUCAGAGUAACUUUAGAUUCACUAUGAAUGUUUGAUUGGAUAUUUCUAUUUGUGCCAAAUAUAUUGUUGGGAUUUUUUUCAUACGGUUUACAUUAAAUCUGCAGUUGGCUUUACAUAGUAUUGACUGAUUUAAAAUGUUAAGUCUACCAACCCAUGAGGAUGGGAUGUCUUUCCAUUUAUUGUUUUAAUUUCUUUUAGCAAUGAUUUGUAGUUUUUAGUGUACAAGUUUUUUUGAUUUUAUGUUGAGGUUAUUCCUAGUAUUUUAUUCUUUUUUAUACUAUUUUCAGAUUUAUUAGUUCACUCCCCCAAAUGGCUGCAAUGGACAUGGUUGGGCCAGGCUGAGGCCAGGAGCCGGUACCUUGUUAUGAGUCUCCCAUGUUAAAAAGAAACUCUUUUUCACGCACAAAAGCAACACCUAAUUGUCAACAGAUUAAUUUAAAAAUUAUUUCGGCCAUCUUUUAAUUCUUCUGUCGAUUAUUAACAUUCACGAGCAAUUUAUGACACAACUAACCACUUGUGGACGUGUUGAUGAUGCCUUCACAAAUCUAAGCUUGUGAAUUCAUUGUGCACGUUCCCUCCGUUUCCCUAACAUUACGAUGGAAACAUUUAAACUAAAAGGACGUCUGUAUCACUGGAUUAUAAUCUAGUACAAAAAACCCAUGCGUGCGUGCGUGCGUGCGACAUUACCAGAUGGCUGACCGCAGCAAUACAUGUGGAAAGGACCAGUCUUUACAGAACAACUCUCUGCUCCCAGAGCUGUGCUUCGUGAGCCGCGCCCCUUGAGUGGGAGAGCCACGUGGAGGAUAAAACGGUAUGCACCUCUGCGCACACGGGGAGAAACCUGGGCCUGGAAGAGCCGCUUCCGCAAGCGCUGAGAAAAGCGCACCUGGAAAGGAGGAGCUACAAGGGCCCUGGACCCUCCACAGGCUGCGGCGUGGUAGGUGAUGGGCGCCUUCCAAGGGGACUCCAGGUCCAGGCCGAAUCCGUCUCCACAAGGACCGGGGGCGCUGGGUUAACAGGCAGAGGCAGGUGGAGGGGAGCCACGAGCCGCCUCGACCCAGCCUCCCGCCUUCUCUGUCUCUUCCAAAGCAAAGAGCCGCCCACGUCUGCAGCCUCCGGCCUGCUCCGGCUUCCUCCGGGUUCCGCCGUCAGCGCCCCGCGUCGCCACCCUGGACCGCGGCGUCCUCCGGCCCGGACGCGCUCAGCGCCGCGGCGCGGGCCCUGUGACAGGCAAGCCUUCGGGAGUGGCCCCGCGCGGGGACGAGGUGGCCGAGUGGUUAAGGCGAUGGACUGCUAAUCCAUUGUGCUCUGCACGCGUGGGUUCGAAUCCCACCCUCGUCGGCGCCCUGCUUUUAGGGCUGGCAAACGGUUCACAGGCGGCUGCAGCGUGCGCUCCCUCUGGUUCUGUGGCCUUUGCCCGCUUGAGCUUCGCGCUCACUUCUCCGGGUCCGAGCCUCCUGGCGGGGCCGCUUCCCUCUCUUCCCUCUCUCCCGUUUUGUAACAGGCCUGAGCUUGCAUCCAUGGCAUUGAUUUGGCAGACGUCCGAGGACAUCUUGCCGCUGUGACCCCGAUUUCACUCCACGUAGCCCCUUUCUCGGUGUUUGCCACACUCCUGCAAGGGCCGUGACGUCCAGGCGGAUCUCCCGCCGUGGCAGACGGGGCCCUGAGUGCCAGGCGGCGGGAACCGGGUGGGAGCGCUCCCAGCGAUGGAGGGAUGGAGACAGGAGUUUUACUUUAAUUAAUCAAUUAAUUUCAUUUUUAUUUAAUUAAAGGAAGUUUUAUUUUGGUGUUAGAAGAAUGUAUUGGUCAUGCACCUGGAAUCCUUUAUGGAUCUUGCUAACAACUGAUGGUUUUAUUUAUUUAUUUGAAAGAGUUACAACAACUGAUGCUUUUCAAACAAAAGUUGGAAAGGUAAGGAUUGUAGCUCUGUGCAGUGUAGGACAUGGUGCUGUGCUGUAGGCAUUCCCUGAGUCACUCAGUGGCCGCUCACACCUCUCCCAGGGCCCCGCAGGGCACUGUUCUUGUUCCUGGAGAGCACUGCCUGCUGCCUCAAGUGUAGGCUUCUCCCUGGAGGCUUUCACCCAAUUGACCACUGCAAUCCUGUCUUCAGUUUGCCUGAGUGUGAGAACUCAAAAAUAUAGAAUAUAGGGAAUGAGAGCACAGGAUAAGUGACAGCUCUGAAGUACAAAGGAGUAGGAAUUAAAGAUAUAAAAAUUGGAAAUAAGAGCCUAACCAGGAAUGAUACACCAAUAAAAAUUACUUAAAUAUAUGUGUGUGUAUAGUGAACCAAAGAGGAGGGAGGUACAACAGAAGAUAUAAUGUUGCUAAAUUUGAGAGAUGGUAACGAGGUUGGUCUCAAUAUCACAACUUUCCCAUGGCAGCCUCUCCCAUGUACCUGACAUGGAGAACAAGACAAAUCAGCACUGCCUGAAGUAGUCAUUGAGGUUUGACUCAGAGGAAGGGAUUAAGUGUCUGGGAAUGAAAUUAACAGUGGUGUAUUCAAACCGAGCCAUGAAGAGUUUACUGAGCAACAAGAAUAGACAGGAAGUGUCGAGAUGAAUAUGCAGCUGAGAAUAGCUCAGUGGAAAAAUGUGGUUACAGUUGGUGUGCUAGAAUGUAGGUGCCCCAUAUAAGCAUAAUUGGGUAAUUCCUUUAUUGAUGUUGGAUUGCUAAAACUUGAUUGAACUUAGACUCUCAAGCAUAAAAUAAUAACUAAACAAAUCUAAAGAGUAGGAGGCAUGGAAGAGAAACUGGAAACAUACUGCUUAAAAGACUUAUUUAUUUGAAAGCAUUACAGAGAAAGAGGGAGAGACAGAAACAGAGAGAGCUUCCGUCUGCUGGUUCACUUCCCAAAUGGUAGCAACAGCUGGAGCUGGGCCAGGUGGAAGCCAGGAGCCAGGAGCUAGCAGCUUUGUCUGGGUCUCUCAAGUGGGUGGCAGAAGCCCAAACACUUGGGCCAUGUUUUGCUGCUUUCCCCAGGCAGCUGAAUCAGACCUGGAGCAGCCAGACACAAACCAGCACCCAUAUGGGUGCCAGCAUCCUAGGUGGCGGCUUACCCCAGGGCCGGCCCUGGAACUGGAAAUCUUGAUCUGCAGGACACCCUGCUCAGCGGGAAGCACACCAGCUACCUCUCACCUCUAGCAUACUUAGACUGCUUCUCAGCAACACCAUCGACAUAGGAAGAUGAACUCUGCAUCGAUUUUCCUGUGAAAUCUUCCACAAGAUUUGAAGUCGCAGUGGCUGGAAGCCUCUCCCACUUGGUGAAAGAGAUAGAUCAGCUUCUAGAAGCUCAGAGGACCCUAAGCAGGUUGCCUAUGAAGGUCCAUAUCCAGGUCAAUCAUAAUCAAGUUCCUGAAAAUUAAGACAAUGAAGCUCCCAAAGCAGUCUGAGAAAAAUAGCGCAUUACCUACAAGGGAGCAAAGAUUAUCAAGUGACAGUGACCUUGCAAUAAACCUCACCCCUGAGGCAUGGAUCCCCUGACCCUAUUGAGUUCUGAGUCUGACUGGUAGUGCUCAGAGACUCUUUGGGUCCCCAGGCAUCGGGGUCAAUUCAGGUCAGUGUCCGUUUGCAUCUCUUUGCCAGUGCACAGCCCCCUCCCCCCCCAUGUAAGUGAUCCCAUUUCCCAUGAGGAAGACUGAGAAGCUCAUCAGUGAAAGUUUGUGGCAGAGUCCCCAGGGAGCCUGGGUUCCCCUUUACUGCAGGGGCUCUGAGUUUCUGAAGUGGUUCAAGUGAGAGUUAAGUGAGGAGUUGUGAGCACGUGGCCUAGCAAUUCAAGGCAGAAUUCAAGUCAGACAACCAUGCUUUCUGUGUAUACAAAUCAGAGAUUUACAGGCCUUGCCUCCUUAGCGCAGCAGGCAGCGCGUCAGUCUCAUAAUCUGAAGGUCCUGAGUUCGAGCCUCAGAGGGGGCAGCUGGACUUUUGUCCCAAGUUAAGGCUCUGGGGCCAGUGUUGACAAUGCAUUCCCCUAUCAGCACCACCUCUCAAGGAAAUGCAAAAAUCUUCAUAGUAGAUAAAAGGCUCAGGUGAUCUCCUCGAUGCUUCCAUUUCAGUUCUAAGGGUGCCAUUAUCCCAAAGAUUUCAUGAGUCAGACCAAUCUACUGUCUGUGAGCAAUGGAGGUGGUAAUGGAGGUGGGAGUUGUUCUAGGAUCCUGGGACUGUCCUCUGAUUGUAUUUGGUGCAGCUAUGGUGAAAAGCACUUCCUGUGGAACUCCCUAUUGUGCAAGGGCAGAUCUAUUAAUCUAAAUUGUCUUGGCCAUUGCAGUCUCCCUUAGGCCUUGGACACCUUCCUUUGUGGUACCCUAAGGUCUGAUAGUUGACUAAAUUUAGAAGAGUCCAUACUUGGUGCAGUUUUGAUUCCUUAACCAACCCACAAACUUUCAGAGCCAUUCCCAGUCCCUCAAAUAAAAAUGAAAUUCAGAAUCUCCACUUAGUGGCUUCACCAAUGAAUUUUGCCUGAUCUAAUUUUAUGUUCCUUCUGUGUGGACCAUUCUCACUCUGAUCUCCACCUCAAAUCCCAAACAAUCCAGAAACGGUUUCUGAAGUAAAGAUUAAAUAUGUUCUGAUACACGUGGCUUCGCUGCAACACCUAUCUUGCUCUGAAAUAUAUUCCUGACCUUUUAUGACUUUGCGUAGCAUCCUUUGCUACCACAAUCACAUUGGCCAUCAUGGGGUCAUCAGUUUCAUAAACACCUAGAGGAAAAUCUGACCCCUCCUGUAUGGACCUUGCCAAAGCAAAAACAUCAGGCGGAAUCUAAUCCAGCCCAUCAGUCUAGUUGUGCAUUUAUGGAAAAUAAUGGGGAGAAUACAUUUUUUCCUCCAACAACCUUUGAUUUAAGGAAUACACAUUUCAUGCAUUUCAUAAGUACAACUUUAGGAACAUAGUGAUUCUUC